rnacentral:rRNA from 1 species
UGUAAGCGUAUACCAAAGUUGUUGUAGUUAAAACGCUCGUAGUCGGAAUUUGGCAGUUCCGGAUGUGUGCACGUCGUGUGCGCACUUCGCGGGGAUUGCUUUUGUGGUCUUGCGUAGGAUGAGGCACUUUUAUUAGUGAACGUCCUCACGCAACCACUUUUUACUGUGAGAAAAUCAGAGUGCUCAAAGCAGGCAUUUGCCGUGAAUGUAUUAGCAUGGAAUAAUAGAAUAGGACUUGGUUCUAUUUUGUUGGUUUGUUGGGACUGAGUAAUGAUUAAGAGGGACAGUUGGGGGCAUUUGUAUUUCGGUGCUAGAGGUGAAAUUCUUAGAUUACCGAAAGACAAACUGCUGCGAAAGCGUCUGCCAAGGAUGUUUUCAUUGA